UACGGAGGGUGCGAGCGUUGUCCGGAAUCACUGGGCGUAAAGGGCGCGUAGGCGGCGCGGUGAGUCUGUGGUGAAAGCCCGAGGCUCAACUUCGGGUCGGCCAUGGAUACUCCUGGGCUCGAGCACUGUAGAGGCAGGUGGAAUUCCGGGUGUAGCGGUGGAAUGCGUAGAGAUCCGGAAGAACACCGGUGGCGAAGGCGGCCUGCUGGGCAGUAGCUGACGCUGAGGCGCGACAGCGUGGGGAGCAAACAGG
rnacentral:rRNA from 1 species